ensembl:snRNA U6 U6 spliceosomal RNA
GUGCUCACUUUGGCAGUACAUAUACUAAAACUGGAACAAUAGAGAGAUGAACAUGACCCCUGCAUAAGGAUGACACAGGGAUUUGUGAAGUUUCCAUAUUUUU